UAAAAAUUAUCAGAUAGACAAUUAAGAAUAUAAUACCGACACUUAUAGGAAUCACCAUCGUACUUUUCCACUUUCUCUAGAUGAGAAAUAGUUUCAUCAUCAUUCAUAGAGGUGAUGUCUACUUUAUUAGGAUUCUUCUCAGUUAACACAUAAGAAACAUUGAGAAGACUUAAGUAGAAAAGUACUUUACCCUUCCAUCUCUUAAA
rnacentral:lncRNA from 1 species